GAGUUUGAUCCUGGCUCAGGACGAACGCUGGCGGCGUGCUUAACACAUGCAAGUCGAACGGAGCGCCUAUGAAGGAGAUUUCGGUCAACGGAAUAGGCUGCUUAGUGGCGGACGGGUGAGUAACGCGUGAGGAACCUGCCUUUCAGAGGGGGACAACAGUUGGAAACGACUGCUAAUACCGCAUAACACAUAGGUGUCGCAUGGCAUUUAUGUCAAAGAUUUAUCGCUGAAAGAUGGCCUCGCGUCUGAUUAGCUAGUUGGUGAGGUAACGGCCCACCAAGGCGACGAUCAGUAGCCGGACUGAGAGGUUGGCCGGCCACAUUGGGACUGAGAUACGGCCCAGACUCCUACGGGAGGCAGCAGUGGGGAAUAUUGGGCAAUGGGCGCAAGCCUGACCCAGCAACGCCGCGUGAAGGAAGAAGGCUUUCGGGUUGUAAACUUCUUUUGACAGGGAAGAGUAGAAGACGGUACCUGUCGAAUAAGCCACGGCUAACUACGUGCCAGCAGCCGCGGUAAUACGUAGGUGGCAAGCGUUGUCCGGAUUUACUGGGUGUAAAGGGCGUGUAGCCGGGUUGACAAGUCAGAUGUGAAAUCCUGCGGCUUAACCGCAGAACUGCAUUUGAAACUGUUGAUCUUGAGUACUGGAGAGGCAGACGGAAUUCCUAGUGUAGCGGUGAAAUGCGUA
rnacentral:rRNA from 1 species